rnacentral:rRNA from 1 species
UACGUAGGGGGCAAGCGUUGUCCGGAAUUAUUGGGCGUAAAGCGCGCGCAGGCGGCUUCGUAAGCCCAGUGUUUAAGCUCGGAGCUCAACUCCGAUACGCACUGGGAACUGCGAGGCUUGAGUGCAGAAGAGGAGAGUGGAAUUCCCGGUGUAGCGGUGAAAUGCGCAGAUAUCGGGAAGAACACCUAUGGCGAAGGCAGCUCUCUGGGACGGUACUGACGCUGGGACGCGAAAGCGUGGGGAGCGAACAGG